rnacentral:rRNA from 1 species
GAUGAACGCUGGCGGUAUGCUUAACACAUGCAAGUCGAACGGACUCUUCGGAGUUAGUGGCGGACGGGUGAGUAACGCGUGAGAAUCUGGCUUUGGGUUCGGGACAACCACUGGAAACGGUGGCUAAUACCGGAUGUGCCGAGAGGUAAAAGAGAAAUUGCCUGAAGAUGAGCUCGCGUCUGAUUAGCUAGUUGGUGAGGUAAAGGCUCACCAAGGCAGCGAUCAGUAGCUGGUCUGAGAGGAUGACCAGCCACACUGGGACUGAGACACGGCCCAGACUCCUACGGGAGGAAGCAGGGGGGAAUUUUCCGCAAUGGGCGAAAGCCUGACGGAGCAAUACCGCGUGAGGGAAGAAGGCUCUUGGGUUGUAAACCUCUUUUCUUAGGGAAGAACAAAAUGACGGUACCUAAGGAAUCAGCAUCGGCUAACUCCGUG